GACGAACGCUGGCGGCGUGCCUAAUACAUGCAAGUAGAACGCACAGUUUAUACCGUAGCUUGCUACACCAUAGACUGUGAGUUGCGAACGGGUGAGUAACGCGUAGGUAACCUGCCUGGUAGCGGGGGAUAACUAUUGGAAACGAUAGCUAAUACCGCAUAAUAUUAAUUAUUGCAUGAUAAUUGAUUGAAAGAUGCAACUGCAUCACUACCAGAUGGACCUGCGUUGUAUUAGCUAGUAGGUGAGGUAACGGCUCACCUAGGCGACGAUACAUAGCCGACCUGAGAGGGGGAUCGGCCACACUGGGACUGAGACACGGCCCAGACUCCUACGGGAGGCAGCAGUAGGGAAUCUUCGGCAAUGGACGAAAGUCUGACCGAGCAACGCCGCGUGAGUGAAGAAGGUUUUCGGAUCGUAAAGCUCUGUUGUAAGAGAAGAACGGGUGUGAGAGUGGAAAGUUCACACUGUGACGGUAUCUUACCAGAAAGGGACGGCUAACUACGUG
rnacentral:rRNA from 1 species